UAAUAAAACAUAAGGCUCCAAAAAAUUAAAACUCUUUGUAUUCUCUAAAAUUAGGUCAUUCACGACCAAUUGUUGCUCCAACAUAAUCUUAUUUCCAUGGUUUUUUUCAGUGAAUGCUCAAUUUCGUUUUGCCCUAAUCUCAUUGCUUUCCAUCGCAGCUUCAUCAAAUAACGAAGAAAUUAAUACAUUAUAGUGUUUCCAUCCUAACAACUGAGCGUCGGAUUCUUCAAACGUUCAAUACUUUUAGAGAAUCUCACAUGCACCCACAGACAUUUUUGAAGAGGUGUGAGCAACGAGUGUGAGCAACAUAUGCUUUAGCCUCUGUCCUACAGGUGCUUGAGAAAAUGUUUCAGACAACUGGGCUUUUGUCAAGUAGGUGCUUGAGAAAAUGCUUCAAACAACUGGGCUUUUGUACAGCAGGUCUAUGAAUGCCCAGUUGCUUGGAUUGUCGGUAUUUCUGUGAGCAGAGUGGAACGUUUUGAGCGAACCUGGCCUCCAACAUGACUAUUUAGGUACACAAGAAGGUAGCACCUUGUUGACGUGAUAGAGAUUUUUAAUCUGCUUAACUGGGAAAAGAAACAGAGGCUUUUCAAACUAGUCUAUAGCAUCGUUUUCCUCUCCGUAUCAUUAUUUUGAAUCCACUGCAGGGUCCAGAGCUUCCAAUGCUUCAGGAACGAAUGUCAGAUGCAGGAGAUAGAGACAAAAUUGGUACUACGACCCCGAAAAAGUUGGCUUAGCCAUUCUCUAGUUCAAUGUCACCUCUGCCACAAUGAAGACAACUUAACUCUGUGUCCUUUCAUUUGGGGUCUUUUUCUUUCUUCUUUUGUGUCCUUCAUUUGGUAUUAACAUAGAUGGUACUCUUUUGUUGUCUUUCAAAUACUCUAUUCUUGAUGACCCUUUAUCAGUAUUGAUAAUUGGGAAUAUAAUGAUGCAACCCCGUGUUUGUGGAA